GCGGGCGUAGCUCAAUGGUAGAGCUUCAGUCUUCCAAACUGACGGUGCGGGUUCGAUUCCCGUCGCCCGCUC
rnacentral:tRNA from 1 species